rnacentral:rRNA from 1 species
CAGGCCUAACACAUGCAAGUCGAACGAUCACUUCGGUGAUAGUGGCGCACGGGUGCGUAACGCGUGGGAAUCUGCCCUUAGGUACGGAAUAACUCAGGGAAACUUGUGCUAAUACCGUAUGAUGACGUAAGUCCAAAGAUUUAUCGCCUAGGGAUGAGCCCGCGUUGGAUUAGCUAGUUGGUGGGGUAAAGGCCUACCAAGGCGACGAUCCAUAGCUGGUCUGAGAGGAUGAUCAGCCACACUGGGACUGAGACACGGCCCAGACUCCUACGGGAGGCAGCAGUGGGGAAUAUUGGACAAUGGGCGAAAGCCUGAUCCAGCAAUGCCGCGUGAGUGAUGAAGGCCUUAGGGUUGUAAAGCUCUUUUACCCGGGAAGAUAAUGACUGUACCGGGAGAAUAAGCCCCGGCUAACUCCGUGCCAGCAGCCGCGGUAAU